rnacentral:lncRNA from 1 species
UAGGCCCCAUUCUUACACUGGGGAUCAGAUUUCAACAUGAAGUUUGGAGGUGGUCAAACAAACCAAAUGAUAACAGAAAUACUCUGUCAAAGUCAGAGUUGACAAAAAUAAAAUGGACUAUAUUGUGAUUAGUUGUUGUUUGGGUACUAAGCUGGAGAAAAUUUCAGUUAAUUAACAGGUUGUAGUGUUUUGUGGCUUUGUUUCUUUUCUAUUCAUUACAACUCGUUUACCUGGUAGUUUUUGACUGAUAUGCUCAACUUGACUAAUUAUUUUUGAAACUGUGAAGAUGCAUCACAGUCAAUAUAAAUAUGUUCACUAUAAUGUAAGUCCUCUUUUCAUAGUAAAAUUGAUGUAAGAUGGCAUAGUCAUUCUUCAUUCAGUACAGUUUGCUUGAAGAUAUCUCUAUUAACAAGAGCAUUUUACCUUCGCCUAGAUUUCAGAUGCUUUGGUAAUUUGUACUGUGCUUAAAUAAAGCACAUCCUGGCAUGAAAAUGAAUGAGUGCCUCCUGGCACUUAGUGCGUGUAUUCCUCAGAGUUUAUGAUAAUUAGGAUGCUUGUUUAAUUGCUGUCCCUUUAUUUCCACUGGGUGGUGGGAGCUAAAGAGCAGCUUUCAAACCAUGUGUGUUACAUACAUAGGUAAUUUAUAAACUCAUUUUGCUGUUGUGAGCACAGGAAAAAAAAUCCUGAAUGUCAAUAAGCCAAUGUUGUAAUUAUUUUAUCCCCACCAUGACUGCUGAUGGUACCUUUGUUUUCGCUUCUUGGACAGGAAGGAUGGGCCUUUGAGUUACUACCCGUAAGGAUUGAGUCAUUUGAGCCAUGGAAUCAUCACGACUGAGUGAAGGAAGAAAUAUCCCUGUGGACAGGCAGAGACAAAGGAGGGGGCAAGACUGACAUUCCCAGCCAUGGAAAUUCUGUGACUUGGCCAAAGGAGACACCAAAUCAGACU